UAUUAAAAUCGUCCGAGCGGUAGAGAAAAGCUUGCUUCUCUUCACAGCGGCGGACGGGUGAGUAAUACCUAUGAUUCUGCCUGGUGGUGGGGGAUGGGUUCGGAAACAGACGCUGUACCGCAUACUUCCUACGGGAGAAAGCAGGGGACCUUCGGUCCUUGCGCUCUCAGAUGAGCCUAGGUCUGAUUAGCUAGUUGGUGACGUAAUGGCUCACCAAGGCUACGAUCCCUAACGGGUCUGAGAGGAUGAUCACUCCCACUGGAACUGAGACACGGUCCAAACUCCUACCGGAGGCAGCAGUGGGUAAUAUUGGACAAUGAGAGAAGGCCUGAUCCAGCCAUGCCGCCUGUGUAAACAAGGUCUUCGGAUUGUAAAUCACUUUAAGUUGGGAGGAAGGGCAGUUACCGGGGGACGUGACUCUCUUGACCAUACCCACAGAAUAAGAACCGGCUAACUCUGUGCCAGCACCCGCGGUAAUACUGAGGUUGCAAGCGUUAAUCGCAAUUACUGUUCGUAAAGCGCGCGUAGGUGGUUUGUUUAUUUGAAUGUAAAAUCCCCGGGCUCAACCUGGGAACUGCAUCCAAAACUGGCAAGCUAUAGUAUGGUAGAGGGUAGUGGAAUUUCCUGUGUAGUGGUAAUUUGCGUAUAUAAAGGAAGGAACACCAGUGGGCGAGGGGCGACUACCUGGACUGAUACUGACACUGAAUGCUGAGCGUGGGGAGCAAACUGGAUUAGAUACCCUGGUAGUCCACGCCACAACGA
rnacentral:rRNA from 1 species